AGGAGAGGUAAGGAGCACUGGGGACCCAUGAUUCAGAUGGUGGAGGAGAGGUAAGGAGCACUGGGGACCCAUGAUUCAGAUGGUGGAGGAGAGGUAAGGAGCACUGGGGACCCAUGAUUCAGAUGGUGGAGGAGAGGUAAGGAGCACUGGGGACCCAUGAUUCAGAUGGUGGAGGAGAGGUAAGGAGCACUGGGGACCCAUGAUUCAGAUGGUGGAGAAGAGGUAAGAUUCCAGUGAUGGCUGCCAUGAAUUAUAUGCGCCACUCUCUGAAAAAAAACCACAGGGUUUAUGUUCAUAAAGUGACGUCCAAGAUUAGCCCGUGCAGUCUUGUACAGGAUAAUCAGUUACGACACUUACAGCCCGUGCAGUCUUGUACAGGAUAAUCAGUUACGACACUUACAGCCUAAUCUGGAUUUUGGCUAAGGAGAGACUUCCUUUAAACAAAAAAAUACAAUAAAAGCAGAAAUCGUCUUUGAUUAGCAUUUGCCUUCUGCACAGGCUAAUCUGGGACGAUGCUUUACGCACAUGCAUUAGACCCAUUUUCUCAGAAAGCGGCUUGUUUGAGCAUUAACUCAUUGGCGGUUGAGUACCAACUGAAGUUGCUUGUGGAUCCCUUUGGGAAAUAAACUUCAGAAAGAAUUAUUUGAAUGCCUUUUUUUUGCUUUUCUUUUUUUCUGUCGCCAAAAGAAAAUAAAUUCAGUACACAAAUUAAAGAUAUUAUGUUUCCAUAUCAUACUAUAGUUGACUAGUGUUUUAUGUCAAUACAAAUAAUUGGCAGUCUUUUGCAAUUAUUCUUUUGCCAGGAUUUUUUUAGCUUGACUAUUAUAUAUAAAAUAUGUAUAGAACAUGUAGUUAGCUCGACUAUUAUAUAUGAAAUAUAUAUAGUAGAGCUAUCCUACUCACCCCUGCGUUUCCGUUCCCGUGUGCGUGAGCGGUGGAAUUUUAAAGUUUGCAUACCACCUCAAAUAUUUCCUAUGUCCCUUGACAUAUUGCUUUUAUAUUUUGCAUACUUCUUUUCCAACAUGACCCCAAUCUAUAAACAAGAGCAGACAACUGUAUCAAGCAUUUUAUGGCCCUUUUUUCACUUAGAAUAUGCAUAUUAUUUAUAAAUCUAUGUUAAAGUUUGCGUACCACCUCAAAUAUUUUCUAUGUCCUUUGACAUAUUGAUUUUAUAUUUUGGAUACUUAUCAGCAUUUUGACAGAAUAAUGGCCCUUUUAUCGUUAGAUAAUUGAACAUUUUGGUAAAGUUUUGUGUUUUGGCACAUUUUACUCCUAAAGUAUCAUAGCUAUUGCUUUCAGACUUGGAAAACUUGCUAACUAUCAUAAGGGGACUGUGCAGGACAAGUUGCAUAACCUAUAUCGUUUUAUAUUCAUGCGUUUGUUGUUUCAUCUUCAAAACAGAAUGGCAGAAUUGUUAAAAUGAUUAUAACUGAAAAGGUAUGUCAACAUGGUUUUUAGCAGCAAUAUGUAUAUGGCCUUUUUCUUUUGAUAAAAAGUGUUAAAUGUUUUUUUCUUCUUUUCAUCUCUAAGUGAGAAGCUUUAUACACUGUUAUGUGAUCUUC